rnacentral:tRNA from 1 species
CGGGGCGUGGCUCAGCCUGGUUAGAGCGCACGGUUCGGGACCGUGAGGUCGGUGGUUCGAAUCCACUCGCCCCGACCA